AGAGGGAAGAAGGAAGAAAAGAAAGAGAGGUGAGGAGGGAGGGAAGAAAAGGAGGUGAUAUUGGUAGCUCUCUCACUCCUCCUCCUGUUUACCUUCCUGGCCUCCAUGGGCAUGUCUAUUCCUCCUGUGUACAGAGUGUGGAGGCCACGUGCGAGCAGAAGUGAAGACCAAGGACCUCUAUUCCCAUGCACAGUUCGGAGACAACAACUACCCUGGGGGGUCAGAUUGUGAGUGGGUCAUCGUGGCCGAAGAGGGCUACGGUGUGGAGCUGGUGUUCCAGACCUUUGAGGUGGAGGAGGAGGCUGACUGUGGCUAUGAUUACAUGGAACUCUUUGACGGUUAUGACAGCACAGCCCCCAGGCUGGGGCGCUACUGUGGCUCUGGGCCCCCAGAGGAGGUGUACUCGGCCGGAGAUUCCGUCCUGGUGAGAUUCCACUCUGAUGACACCAUCAACAAAAAAGGCUUCCAUCUUCGCUAUACCAGCACCAAGUUCCAGGACACGCUUCACAGCAGGAAAUGAGCCGGAAGUGACCUCUCCCUUCAUCCCCAGAGGGAAAAGGAAGACUUCCUCCCCUCGGGCACCAGCUCCCUCCUUCCCUCCCCACACACACAUACAGACUGACUUACAUGGUUGGACAAGGGGACAGAGGGAGGCCAUUCCCCUUUCCUCUCUCGAACCACAGUCUCCAGCUUGGAUACCAGUUGAGUCUCUGCGGGUAGAGGAACCAGACUUCUCUCUAAAUGGCUUCCCCCACCACCUCUCUUCUCUCCUUUCUUUAUGCCUGCCCUGUGACUGAGAGGGGUAAAGGUCCAGGAGAUCAAGUUUUCACGGAGACUCGAAGACAUCCGUGUUCUCCAAGCAGCCCGUCCCCCCCACACACACACAUACAACUUCCCCCCCACAUUGUGAUCUGGGAGAGGUUUACUUGGAGCAAAAGACUCCCUGAUCUUUCUUGUCCCUCUCACUCCAAAUUGUAUUCUGUAUAGUCAGUGGCAAAAUCCUCACUGUAACACACCAGCAAACCCGACCUUCCUCCUUCCUUGCCCUCCCCCUCCUCAUUUUGGUGUUAUUCUUAAAGCUCUGGUUUCAGCAUGUCUGUCCAAUGGGCAGUGGUGAGGGAGGUGAUGGAGGCGGAUAGGAGACUGGAGAGAUGGGGAGGGCAGUGUAGGGGCCCUCUCUUUCCCCCGAGGCAGUGAGGUCAGCCAUCUGGGGAUACCCCCAGCCAAUAAACUGAAAGUGUUA